UUUAUGGGAGUGGGCCAGAGGUUUUAUCUUUAUAUGUUUUUAUUGUUCUGACCGUGGGGCCGUUUCUUCUCUGAAUCUCUUUCAUUUGCUUCACUCUUUCCUCUGUUCAAGAAUUUUCAAAAUCCUAAUCAAAGGCGUUUGUUGAGUAUUUAGUUGUGUGUGGUUCUCUGCUCGAAGCAGUAUAAUUAUGCGACUUCCCUUCUGAAAGUGAAAGUGGUUUUCUUAGCCUGUCUUGGGAAAUGUGUGUCUGCUUGUCGGCUCCACUGUUCCCUGGUUAGUAGGUGCUGAACAGAAAGACUGAGGCUUUCUGGUGGGUAAAAAAUCAAUAAUAGUAGGGGCCAGGGUACUGUUUUCAACUGGCUGCAGAGAAAUUUGGGCAUAGAUAAUUCCAGUCAAAUAGAAUGCUUAAAAGAGCAAUAGAAGAAUAAAAUAUGGACUUAAGCGCAGUCAGGUUUAAAACACUGCGACCCUGCCUUAAGCUCAUCAGUCACUGUCCAGCCAGUUCCAACUGAUAUGACCCCAUGUGUGUCAGAGCAGAACUGUGCUCUGUAGGGUUUUCAGUGGCUGAUUUUUCAGAAGUAGAUCACCAGGCCUUUCUUCUGAGGUGCCUGUGGGUGGACGGUUAGCAGUUGAGCAUAGUAACCAUUUGCAUCACCAUCUCUAAACAAUGGUUAAUAAAGUUGUGCCGCUGCAGAUAAUACAAAAAGAAUGUCUUCAGUUAUCAAUUUGUAGAAAUGAGAACAGUUCAACUAUUCUUUUGGAAAAUCAUUGGUAAGUCAGCACUCACAGAUCUAACAGUUGAUUUCAGCAAAUGACUGUUAAGAAAACAGACAAGCUUACAUACAAUCAAAGAAAUCUGGCGAGGCUGGGAGUGUAAGGAACAAUGGAGCUCUGAAAAAUUGAAUUUCUUUUUUUCUUUUAAGGAGAAGAAAAUAGAAGAACACAAGAAAAGACUUCCUUUGGCUCCAGUAAAAACUAGAAAAGGAGGAAGAAGAAAACCUAUUCACGUAACAAAAAGAAGAAAUACAGAUGUGAAUGCAGCAAUAAAAGAAAGCUGGAGCGGGUGACCAGGCGGUACACACGGUGGGGACAAAGCUCGACGGGAGGCGGUCACACGGGCGAAUGCAGUUCGGAAGACACCACUUGCAAAAGACAUAAAGGAACAGAAGAGGCUGAACGAAAAUGCUCCCCUCUUCUGUAUCAGACAGGGAGGAAGAGCUCACAGUAGUGCCAUCAAAAGAACAGAGGAGAUCCGGAUUCGAUUCUUGGCCAGUGCUCCUCAUGUGCAGCUACCACCCAUCGGUCAGCGGAGGCUUGUGUGUUCCUGUGAUGCUGAACAGGCUUCAGUGGAGCUUCUGGACUAAGACUAGGAAGAAAGGCCUGGUGAUCUACUUCUGAACAUCAGCCAAUGAAAACCCUAUGGAUCACAACGGUGAGAGAAAUGAGGUGCAAGGAGUCAGAUUACCUGCUCGUGGUCACACAGCGACGUCCAGGUACAUCAGAAGUCAGAGCCCCCUUCCUCCGGUAAACAUACAUCGAGAACGCAGUUUAUCCUCUCUAUCUGUGUCAGUUUAAACUGUGAGUACCAAGCCCCAAACCCACUGCUGUGGAGUUGAUUCCGACUCACAGUGACCCUGUAGGAGAGAGUAGAACUGCCCCGUAGAGUUUCCAAGGAGCGCCUGGUGGAUUUGUACUGCCAACCUUUUGAUUAGCAGCCAUAGAUAUUACCCACUGUGCCACCAGGGUUUCCAAACCGUGAGUACAGAAAGAUGGAAAUUUAGAUUCUUAUUUUCAUGAUAUUAGAGAAAAGUGAGAACAAUUUUAUUUAAAGACAACUGUUUUGGGAUAACGUGGAUGUGUUUUUCUAUUAUUUGGUAUAGUCCUUUUGGAAUUUUCCAAGAACUCGGAUUAUCUAGGUCAACCGCAAAAUUGCAUAGCUUGGUAGAACGCUGCUGGUUAAGAUUCUGUCUUAUUCCUUUUGUAAGUAAAUUAAUUCUUUAUUUAAGAAAGGUAUUUGGGUCACCUCUGCGCUGUUUCAGCUUUCUUGGGUCCCUAGAUUGGGGGGCAAACUUGAUUGUUAGCAGUUCUAGAGUCUAGGACUCAGUGACGCAGGUGACCCAGGAGACAUUUUAUCAACGGCCAAAGACCUGCAGGAGCGGAUGCUCUUGUUGCCAUGGUUCCCUCGUGAUGCCGUUUGUAAUAAAAGGAAUAGGAGCCUGCUGAGCAUGCCCAGAGCGGUCUUAAGUGGGACAGAAUGGGCAGAGAGGGCCAGGAGCGCUCUGCUCACUUCUAUCCUGUGCUUUCCUGUCCUUCCAAGACCAAGAGAAAUUGCAGUGAAUCUUUAUCUUAUCCAGGUUCUGUGUGUAUGUGCAUUGACACAUACCGGCAUGUAUGUAACAACGGCCUGUUUCAGAUAUGCAGGGAGCGGUGUGAAUGGCAAACCCAAACUGAGUGGGUUGGGGCCUUGGUCACUUCAACCAGCCCUUGCCAUUAGUAGCUGUGCUGAUUCGUUCUCUCUCUCUCACACACACACACAAUACACACACACACACACACACACACACACACACACACACACACACACAGGGAGAAGCACAGCAGCUCACCAAAGGCGGCCCCGUGUGUGCAGAGUAGAGCUGCUCCAUAGCGUUUUCAAGGCUGUGAGAAUACGUCCUUCUCACUGGGAGACAAAUCACCAGGCCUGUCUUCCGAGGUGCCUGUGGGUGGGUUCAAGCUGCCCACCUUUGGGCUAGGAGACGACAGCUCAACCGUUUUCGUCACGCAGGGACUCCUUAAAGAGGAAGCGGAACAGGUCAUGAGCUCCCGCGGCAGGCUCACUGCACAGCAGGUCCUGACCCUGCUCUUUUCUGAGGCAAGGACGUUCAGUAACUGGAACAUCUUAGGUGGACCUCAAGAACUCCACAAGUCAGGUGCUUUCGUUUCAGAAUGGCUGCAUGACUCCAGAGUCCCUGGCCGGAGCUUCUAGGGCAGGUAUUUCUGGCCUGUCCACCCAGACCCAUGGUACCCAUGGCUCCUCUCAUCCUGAAGGCAGGCCUGAAAUGCGCUUCCAGAUCCCCAAGAAACCACUUUCUUUCUCCAUCUUCCGUCUGCCAAGGCUGAAGAACAGAGAGCUGCUUCUGGCCACAUGGUUUCCUUUAGGCCGAGGGCUAAGGGCAGGGCCCUUUCCGAGCCUGUGUAACCGAGUGGAAAUCCCUAGCGGGCGCCUAAACUCAAGCUCCUGCCACGCAGGAAAGGAACCUGCCUGCCAGCAAUUCCUCAGCCGCAGUCAGCUGGACAUUUUCCACAGUGAACAGUGUGUUCUGUCGCCUUGUGACACGCCUAAUCUGUGUUGCAUUUUGAAUAUUCUUGAAAAUGUCCAUCUAAUGAGAGGAGAAUAGGCGUCUGGGCAGAGCCGGUUCUCCUUGGCGCCACUGCACAUCUUCCACCGCCAGAAGGCAGGUUAAGGCUCCUGCAGUCUGAGCGCUGCAGCUCCAUCCUGCUGCAAGGUGGAGGUCUCCUCGGCGCCCGCCGACACUGUGUUCUUCUCCUUAGUCUACCGUCCUUAUGAAUAUUAAUGGUGAUAAUAGAAUUAGGCAGGCUGGCUUCCAGCAGAACCCGGGCUUAGUGGGAAAGGGGGAGGCUGACUGGCUGAGGAGUUAAGAAUCAGCUUGAUCCUGGGCCCUGGUGAGAGUUAUUUUGUUCUAAAGGAGAUGGUCUGUGGUGACCCACUGCCAGCCCUGCAGCACUGCUGAUGGGUACCGCUGACAGCUGAAAGCCGGACCCUACAGUCUGUCCGGUGUGGUGUUACAGCUGGUGUGUGCGAAUGUGGUGUGUGCAGUGACAGUGCCCACACAUCCAAGGUCAGCCUGACCAGGGAUAUAUUCACCACGAGGAAGUUUGCUAGGAGAACCCAUUGUUUAAUGCACAGCCAUCCAUACUUCGUAGUUUUCCUGUCUUCAUGACUGUCUCAUUCAUGCCGUGAACUAUUCUAAAGGGAAGUGGAGGCAGGGAAGUGGGAGUAGUCAGGAAGCUUUCAGAGAGAAGAGAUCGCAGUCUGCAGAAAAAGCCUGCCAAAGCCAGUGUACCAUGUAUCCCCCGCUGAGUCCAUUCCCCUUGGAAAUUCCACUAAUUUUUGCUGCUUCUUUAAGCGUUGGAUGUCACCAUAUGGAAUCCCCCUACUGUUCCCAGGGCUGUCGGUGACUCUGGGCUGGGCUGCGGCACCUGUGUGUUGUCCCAGGCAGUCAACCUGCCAGAGUAGUGUGGGGAGGGAGGGCGAGGGGGAGUAUGCCUUCCUUGAGAUUCACCCAUUUUUCUGUUCCUCCGAGCAAUUAUCUAUGCUGUGGGGAUUAUGGCUGGUGGCAGGAGUGAACCAGAUACAGUCUGAGCAGCUGGAGAUCAUGCUGCCUGUACGUAGGGCAUGUCUACCAGUGUUCCCUGGGGCAAAGGAAAGAAAAGCCUCUCGAGCUGAGCUUCUGUGGCUCAUUCUGGAGCUGCAACAGCAACACCGUUUACCGUGUCAUUCUCCAUUAGGAAAGGGCCUUGGGCCCCCAAGGCUGUGUGGUGCAGUGGAUGGUGCCCCAACCUAAACGGUGGAUGAUCCAGGUUUCAGCCCAAAUGCUGGUAACGUAGUUGCAGCAUCAGUGGUGUGACAUGGCAGACAAAAUAAAUCUGGUAUGUUCUUGGCAUACAGGAGUGGAGGGCCUUCUAAUACAGAGGGGAUGAAAGUCCCACCAGGCCCUCAUGCCUGCAGGUCUGGAAUCCGUGCUGGGUGUCAUACUUGAAGAGCAAUACAGAUAAGCUAAAACCUGCUCAGAAGACUUCGUCCAGGGCAGGGAAGGAUGUGAAACCACGUCACUUCAGGAGCCUGCAGAGGAACUGAGGCUGCUAGCCUGAAGAAGUGAUUUGGGGAAGGUGUGACUAUCUGCCAGCUUGCCAUGGGGAAGAGGAAUUAGAUUCAUUUUGUGAGGCUCUAGAGGAACUUUAUGAUAGUCGAAGUGUCUUAAGAUGUCCCAGAGGUUGUCACUGGGGGUAAUGACACCACAUUCUGUGACUCUCUGCUGUGUUUAUUUUGAUGCGGUACAUUGAGGUGGCCAUUUUGACAUCAUGGACCUUUGAAAUUUCUUUUAGUAUAAAAUCAAACUUGUUUGACAGUAGUAGAACAUAGCAAGUAGUUUCAUUCCUACCAUUAAUGUUUCUUCUUCUUCUUUUUUUUAACUAAGUAAUGUGUAAAACAGAUGCCUUUGGCCCAGUUCCCUGCUCCCUCCCUCUUCCUGACCCAGGCUCUGUUCCUGACACUUGCUGGCAUCCCUGGGACUUGCCCUACCCUUCAUGUGUCUGUCCCUUUUGAUUCGACUGAAGAUGGGGAUCUGAUGAUACUGAAAAUUAGUGACAUGUCUCCAGGGUGGAGCUGGGGCUGGGAGCUGAAAAUACUAAGAGGAGUCACAGCUUUAUUUGUAUUUUAGAGUGUUUGGUAUUUUCUGCCGUUACCAAAAAAGUCUCAAUUUUAAUUUUUUACUCUAUAUGUCAAGAUGUCCAUGUGUCAAAACGGCCUCAUCAAAAUAUCGCUCUUACAACUAGCUGGACGAAUACUUGUCAAGUAUAUCACAGAAGGAACUCAAGAAUCAUGUGGUUAGUUGAACAUGAUUAUUUUGCAGAUAUUUUGUGAAUCUAAAAUUCUAUGCUUGAACACAAUAGUUUCCAGGGGCAGGCCCUUGGAGCAUCCUGGUCUCUGAUAAAGUUUUCACCAUCUGCAUUAAAAUGCAGAAAAAUAAGCACGAUGCAUUUAGUUUUCCUUAAGGCUAAAUUUCUUCAAUUUUAAAGGCUUUUCUUUAUUCUGAGAUAAGGGGUUUUAUUUUCUUUACUUUUGCUGUUGCCGUUAAAAUAUUCUUCCUUUUUUUCAAAUCAUGGUAAUAGUAGAUGGUGUUUUAAGAUGUCAAUGGACAUUUGUCCUACGUUAGUUUUUUCUUUGAUCUGUAAAAUUCCAAAGUCUGGGAACCCUGAUUUAAGUCACUUCAUCUUUUUGAACCUCAUUGAUUCACUUAUGAAAUAGGUAUAGACUCACAUGGGCUACCUAGCCCUCAGCACAGUUUUAAGUUUCAGAUAGGCUAAUGAAGGUCACGGACCAUUGUAGACAAAGUGCUGUAUACUUUUCACUGAGUGGACAGCGAUGUCAAUAUUGGCCAAAUGAGUCGUUGUAUGGAUAGAUGUACGGAUGGUAAAGCAGAAGAAAAACUCCUCUUGCCCUCAUUUUUCCUUAACUGGCAUUUUCUCCUCUGCUUCCAGGAGCCUAAAUAAAUGGCAGCCAGGGAGCCUUGUGUGAUUUCAAACUCAGCAUGACAAAGUUUCCACUGGGGCAGCCAGAAAAAGACUAGUGUGCAGAGAAGCCAGCAUGGACCCUUCUGUGGAAUGUGGGGUGUCGUGGUUAUCUAGUGCUGCUAUAACAGAAAUACCACAAGUGGAUGGCUUUAACAAACAGAAAUUUAUUCUCUCAUAGUCUAGGAGGCUAGAAGUCCCCAUUCAGGGUGCCAGCUCCAGGGAAAGGCUUUCUCUCUUUGUCGGCUCUGGGGAGAGGUCCUUGUCAUCAAUCUUCCCCAGGUGAGGAGUUUCUCAGCACUGGGAGCCUGGGUCCAAACGAUGAGUUAUUCUCCUGGCUGUACUUUCUUGGUGGUGUGAGGUCCACAUCUCUCUGCUCCCUUCUCUCUUUUAUAUCUCAAAAAAGAUUGACUUAAGACACAAUCUAAUCUUGUAGAUUGAGUGCUGCCUCGUUAACAUAGUUGCCUCUAAUCCUGCCUCAUUAACUGUGUAGAAGUAGAAUAUACAACACAGGAAAAUCACAUCAGUUGACAAAAUGUUGGACAACCACACAAUAUUGGGAGCCACAGCCUAACCAAAUUGACACAUAUUUUUGGGGGACACAAUUCAAUCCAUGACAUGGGGUGAGGGGAGAUGGUAGGAGGCCUAAAAAGGAGGGAGAGGAGUGAUAUCAACCGUCCUAAUGUAGGAGUGAACUUAGGGUGUGUUUAUCAUGUCAUCUCUGCCCAGUCAAGUGUGAAGAACUGGAUUGCGAUGUGGAGACCACACCUCAGACCAAUUAAAUCAUGAAUCUCUGGUAUAGACAUCUACAGUUUAAAAAACUUUCCAGAUGAUUCUAAUAUAUAGCCAAGGCUGAGAACUACGGCUUUAAGCCUGAGAGGACACUUUGAAAAGAGAAGCCAGGUUCGUUUGUGCAGAUUUCUAUCAAAUGUAUCACAUUCUUCCCUUCAAUUUUCAAGGAGGUCAUUGCAGCCAGUGGGGGUUUUGCUUGGUGCUCACUCUAAGGCCUCGCUGACUGUGCUUGGUCUCCCCGUGGCCAUCUGUCUUUUUCUCCAUCUUUUGUCUUAAUAUUUCAGCUAGGGAAGUAAUAAAGUAUUGAGGUUAAGAGUCAGCUUCUGAAGAAAUUCUUGCCUUGUGUAAGGAAGCAGGUACAAGGAUGUUCAUAGCAGCAGUGUUUCUAAUGGUGAAAAUGUGGAAACAACUCAGUGCCCAUCAGUACGGCAAUGGAUACAUCAGCGAUCAAUGGCAGCCAAGAUGGAAUACUGUACAGCAACUAAUGUGAACAAAUCAAAUCCUGAAAUAUCAUCUUAUAACAUUCAAAAUAUAAUGUUGCAUGAAAAAAAGCAAGUUACAGAACAAUAUGUAGAGAAAGUAACUAUUUAAAUACUUUAAACACACAAUAUAAUACUAUGCACUAUUUCUGAGCAUCUCUACAGGUGGUUAUUGUACACAGGGUUAUCAACCACCUCAUAUUGCAACCUGAUCCUAUGAAUGCCAGUAAAUCUCCAUUAGUCAUAAAAGACUGCCUUAAACCAGCUCAAGCCACACCUGGGCUGGCUGCGGCUAUUAGUAGACCUCAACAGAGGAUGCAGCAACAGGUGGAAUGCAUCAGAAGGAAAAUCAUCACCCGGACCCCAUUCUGAAGAAGUGAGAGGUCCAGCAAGAACCACCACAUCACCUCCUGUUUCCUAGCCACCAUAAUUCCUGCAAUGUCUUCCUUCUAGAAUUUUUCCUCCCCACUACUCCUGCACGGCCACCAUCUCGCUGUUCAAAUUAUAUAUAAGCUCCGUUUCCCCAUAGCGUGGGGAGUCGGAUUGGAGGAACUGCCUCCCGCCUCUUUGCUCUGCACAUUGCAGUAAAGUUACUUUGUUUUCCUCAAAGACCAGUGUUCAGAUCAUUGGCAAGUCUGAGUGUGCCAGACAAGGACCCACCUUCCUGGGUGGCAACAAUAUGCAUGUGAAAGCUGGACGAUGAAAAAGGAAGACAGAAGAAGAGUUGGUGCAUUUGAAUUGUGGUGUUGGCUGAGAUUAUUGACUGUACCAUGGACUGCCAGAAGAACGAACAAAUUAGUCUUAGAAGAAAUACAACCAGAAUGCUCGUUAGAAGUGAGGAUGGCAAGACUUUGACUCACUUACUUUGGACAUGUCAUCAGGAAAGACUAAACAUUAGAAAAGGACAUCCUGUUGGGUAAGGUAGAGGGUCAGCAAAAAUGAGGGAGAUCCUUCAUGAGAAGGAUUCACACAAUAGCCACAGAAAUGGACUCAGAAGACAUUUCUUUCUCUUAUACAUAAGGUGGCUAUGUAUUGGAGCUGACUCAAUGGCAACUAGCAACAACAACAACAUACAGGUGGUCCCAGUAAAAAAAAAAGGACUACAAGGACACACACCAAAGUCAACCUGAUGGUUAUCUUUGGGAAAGGAAAGGCAUGGAAUCGAGGAGAGGUACAAGGAAGGCGUUUCGAUAGUGUUUCAGUGCUUUUAUAAAAAAAAUAACUGAAGCAAAUAUGAAAUAUUCCAUUACAUAAAUUCCACGUUAUGAGUACAUGGAUAUUUGUAUAUUCUGUUCUUUACUGCAGCUUAAAAAGUUUUGAAAUACAAAAAUAUAACUACCAUAAGAAAUUGGCCUCUGGAAUAAGAUCUUCUUGGCUUCAACUCUUGGCUCUGCCACUUGCUGUAUGUAUGACCUUAAGCUAUUUAAGCUUUGGAGGCCUUAGUUUCCUUCCCCAUCUGUAAAAUGAGCACAGCACUUCAAGCAGUGCUGACACAUGGUUAGAAUACCGUACAGGUUAGCUGUUCUUAUUAACAUCCUCAAAUUGAGAUGAUGUAGAUUGGCUGUUCCUGCUCAUCCUUUGAAACCCAGGUCAGGUGUUAUCCCCUUCAGAAAACCUUUCCUGACUGUCAUGGAUUGAAUUGUUUCUCCCCAAACCAUGUGUCAACUUGGCUAGUUCAUGAUUCCCAGUAUUGCGUGAUUGUCCACCAUUUUGUCAUCUGAUGUGAUUAUCCUAUGUGUUGUAAAUCCUACCUCUAUGAUGUUAAUGAGGCAGGAUUAGAGGCAGUUGUGUUAAUGAGGCAGGGCUCAAUUUAUAAGAUUAGGUUAUGUUUUUAGCCAAUCUCUUUCGAGAUAUAAAAGAGAGAAGUGAGCAGAGAGACAUGGGGAUCUCAUACCACCAAGAAACAAGGGCCAGGAGAAUAUCACAUCCUUUGGACCUCAGGUCCCUGUGCUGAGAAGCUCCUUGACCGGGGAAGACUGAUGACAAGGACUUUCUUGAGAGCCACCAGAGAGAGAAAGCGUUCCCCUGGAGCUGGCACCCUGAAUUCGAACUUAUAGCCUACUAGACUGUGAGAGAAUAAACUUCUCUUUGCUAAAGUCAUCCACUUGUGGUAUUUCUGUUAUAGCAGCACUAGAUAACUAAGACACUGACCAUCUGAGUUAGGUGAUCUUAUAAUAACUUAUUCUGUCCUGCAGGACACAUAUCAUAUGUUAAUGAUGAUGACUAAUGUUUACUGAAUACUUGCUAUGUGACAAGCAUUCUUUUGAGGAUUUUACAUGUGUCUUCUCAUUGAAUUCUCACACUGCUCUUGAGUUUAGUACCAUCAUUGCUCCCACUUACAGACUAUUUUACAAGUACCUGUUUGCAGUCUUUUCUAACAGGUGGUGAGCUUCUGGGGGUUAGGGAUGUGAUAGGUCAGCUCUGCACCCUCAGUGCUGGGCACUGUGCUCAUAACGAGGUGGUCAUUUAAGAAAUUGCUGAGUGAAGAGUGAACGAAUGCAUAAAAUAGGCAAAGCAGUUCCCUGCCCUUGAUCACUACAUGGCUAACAUGGGAAAUGGAUUUCUGAGUUAUACCAAGUGGUCCGAUGGGCACAGACUGUAGGCCUUUGGUUGGAAGGAUCUGUUACAGGCUCUGUCUCCACAUACUAGGGCUGCUGUACAAAGUGCCAUAAACUGGGUGGCAUUUAAGAAGAUAAUUUAUUGUCUCAGAGUUCUAGGGCUAGUAGUUCAGAUUUAGGGUGCCUGCAGGACCUUGCUCUCUCGGAAGUCUCUGUGUCUCUUUUUCUCUUUUAAAAGGACGCCACUCGGAUGGGAUUAGGAUCCACCCUACUCUAAUAUGACCUAACUUAACUGAUAUGAUCUUCAAAGACUCUAUUUCCAAACAAUGUCACACACAGCCACAGGUACUAAGGGUUAGGAUUCAACAUAUUUUCUGGGGGACACAGUUCAAGCCACAACAGGUUCCUUGGCUCUUCCUCGUUGGCAUGAGGGCCAAGUCUCAGAGGGAUCACACAGCAGAGGGAGUGAAUGCCUCCUCUCAGGAACAAAGCUUAUUGAUCAUUUCGUAGUUAAAAACGGGCGUCAUGUGCUCCUUCCCAAAACCUUUUGCUUGGCUGAUUCUUGUCCUUUAGAUCUCAGCUUAAACAUUCCUUCCUCAGAAGGCUUUCCCGACCGUCCAAGCAGAAGCAGGCCUCCUUCACAUACACUUUCGCAAUCCUGUAUGCUUCCUGGCUAGUGUUAUGACUGUGUGUGCACAGUUGUCUGAGAGACCACUGCCAUCUCUGUGUGAGGUCCUGUGCUCCUGAGGGAAGGCACCAUCUUGGUUCUGUGCUCUGCUGUGUUCCCUGUGCCCAGCGGGGCCUGGCUCACUGAAGGUGCUCAGUGCAUAUUUGUUGAGUGAAUGAAAAUCAGGAAAGGAUGGGAGCGGGAAGGAGUGGGCUAUUGAAACCUGAGGGGAAUUUGAUGGGUGUUCAAAUUCACAGCUGCUACUGAUAAAGUCUGUGGUUAAUGUUUUCAGGCCAACAUCCUAGGGGCGUGUGAGCUUCUCACCAUCUGGGAGAGUUGCAUUACUGAUAAGUGACUUUUCUAUAAGGAAUCCCAAUCAGUGGCAAGAUCUUUUGUGAAGGCAUAACUCAGCUCCCUCUUCUCUCUUGAAGUGGUUCUCAACUGGCACUGUGUGAAUCAGGAUCACUUGGGGGUGCUUAAAAAUGCAAGUAAUCUGCCCCCACACACCCAUUCACAUACUUACACACACCCUGAAUCAGAACCUGUCAGGGUGGGGCCCAGAGGGCAUGUGUAUGGGGAGGUACAUCCGGGUAACGGAAGAAGAGAGUGGCUCUCUUCUUUCAGGCCAAUGCUUACUCAGUCUCUGGUGUUCUCAGUUUAUACUUAGGGAGUUCCUGACAUGCCUACUAUUAUGGAUUAAACAGUGCCCCCCCGCCCCAAAAUAUAUAUAUGUGUUAGAAUCCUAACCCCUAUACCUAUUUACAUUACCAGCUGUGUGAGGCCAAAACCCAGUCAGUUUGGAAAUAUGGUUUUCUUUGUUAUGUUAAUUAGUUCUCUACCCAAGUUAGGGUGGGUUCUAAAUCUAAUCACUUCUGAGUUAUAAAAACAGCAGAUGAGACACAGAGAUACUCACAUGUGGGGGAAGACGGACACUGCAUGUGAGGACUAUCUAUAGUCAGGGAAUCAAAGAAUGCCCGGUUGGACUCCUGAUUUGGACUCCCAGGCUCCAGGACUUGGAGAAAAUAAAUGUCUUUCUUUAAAGCUACCCACUUGUGGUAUUUCUGUUACAGGAGCACUAGGAGACUGAGACAUCUACCUUUCAGGUGGAGGAACUAGAUCAGUCUUUGAAGGAAAAAGAAGAUGGAUUAUCUUGUCUAGCACAGAAAGAUGGAUUUUUCCACUGUUCCUUUUAUCUCAUUCAUCCUCAUCCUCUCUCCUUCUCGUUGUCUUUGUUGGAUCAUCCUUGACUAAACCUUAAGGAAUGGAUGAAGUGAUGAAUGGAGACAGCCUGAACAUGGGGAAAAGUGAACGGAGGACUCGGCUAUGUCAGGAGGCUGCUGGGUUUUGGCCUCACAAGCCUGAGACUGUGAACUGAUUUGUGGUAUGACUGCUCUGACAGAGAUCACAACAGAGGGUCCCAGACAGAGCUGGAGAAAAAUGUAGAACAAAAUUCUAACUCAAAAGAAAAAAAAAACAGACGAGACUUACUGGUCUGAAACAGACUGGGGAGACCUUGAGAGUAUGGUUCCUGGACACCCUUUUAGCUCAGCACUGAAGUCACUCCUGAGGUUCACCCUUCAGCCAAAGAUUAGAUAGGCCCAUAAAACAAAACAAGACUAAAGGAGCAUACCAGCCCAGGGGUAGGGAUAAGAAGGCAGGAGGAGACAGGAAAGCUGAUAAUAGGGAACCCAUGGUUGAGAAGGGGAGAGUGUUGACAUGUUGUGGGGUUGGCAACAAAUGUCACAAAACAAUAUUUGUACUAAUUAUAUAACGAGAAACUGCUUCGUAAACCUUCAUCUAAAGUACAAAAAAAAAUUGUGAGCAUGUGAACCAUUCUGUAGUGCUCAAAAUGAUUGCACAUGAGCUAUUCCUUCCCCCAAUUCCCAAAAGCACUAUCUAGAUGAUUCCUCAUGGUUCUCCGAGGAGGGAGAUCCAGCAUGUGGAUGGACUGCUAUCUCCCUGUUCUCUCGGCUGAGCUGGGAUGUCCUGCUUGGUCAGCAGGUGGGUGCACAUUGCUUGUCUCUGCAUCUCCUUGUCCUCUCAUUGAAAGAACACUGAGGGGUAGGUAGUACAGCCCAGACUUUUCACUUAUGAGAAAACUGAGGAGACUCUGAGAGCAUCAGUCAUUUGCUGGCAGGGAGCAGACACGGGCCACGAAACCCAGUCUUCUGAAAUGUGUACCAGGGUCUUUUCCACCACCUUCUCCUUUUCCCCUGGCCUUGGUGGAAGCAGGCCCCAAACAAGGUGCCAAAUAGCUGACUUGGCUCAGUGGGACUCUAGGAUAUUCCCUCUGAUCGCUGACUGGUGAUGUUAAGUGUUCCUGUCCUGUCUAUGAGGUAGGAGCCUCAAACCUGAGCAGUAAUUAAACUCACCAGUCUUAGAAGAAAUACAACCAAAAGUGAGGAUAGCAAGACUUCCGCUUACUUACUUUGGACACAUCAUCAGGAAAGACCAAUCACUAGGAAAAGACAUCAUGUUUGAUAAAGCAGAAGGUCAGUGAAAAUGAGGGGAACCCUCAAAGAGGUGGAUUGACACCAUAGGCACGACAAUGGACUCAAACAUACCAACAAUCAUGGAGAUGGUGCAGGACCAGGCAGGUUUUCAUUCUGUUUGCUGUGAGUCAGAACUGACUUGAGGGCAACUAACAGCAACGAGAGAUGCUUGAGAUGAGGACAUGGUCUGCGGUAUUUGUUGAAGUCUGUAAGGGCAGAACUGCAGCUGCCCCACUCUUAGCCUAUUAGCCUCAUUUUUGUUCCAUUUGAUAUUUGAAAAUUGCCAUUUAUUAACUGCUUCAUGCAACAAAUAUUGAUCGAGGGCUUGAAAUGUGCCAGACACUGGCAUAGAUGCUGGGACUGCAGCUGUGUGGAGCAAAGAUAGGGCCUCUGGGCCCUGCAGCCUAUGUUCAGAGAAGCUGGAGAGGCUGUGUACAGGGAGGGAGUGGUGGCGAGGUAUGGAGCGUGUUGCUCUUCAGACAGGAAGCUUAGAGAAGUUCUUCUGAGCAGCGGCUGAAUGCAGCCAUCUUGGGAAGACUGUUCCUUGCUCAAAAGCCCUGAGGUGGGAGCAGGUUUGAUGUUGUGAGGGGAUAGCAAGGAGUCAGCACAGCUGGAGAAGGGAGAGACCAGGGACAGUGUUAGCAUCCAGGGCAGACUGGCUGUUGAGGACAAAGCCUCAUUUGGCAGGUGGCUCUUAUAGUUCAUGGAGGGACGUGGGAUUUUAUUCUGAGUGUGAUGGGAAACCUCUGCAGGGCUUUAGCUCUGACUUGGAUUUUUACAGAUCAGUGUGGCUGUUGUGUGGAGGAUAGACAGCGAGGGUAAGAGAGGACCUGAGGGUAGUCCCGGAGGAGGGUGGGGACUGGAUAGUGGAGGUGGGCUGGAGGGGUCCGAUUCAGCCAUUUGCUGAUGGGCUGGGGGUGGGGGGCUGAAAGAGAGAGGUGUUCGGAUGAGCUACUGCCAGGUCUAGGACUUGGAUACCUGAGCAGGUUCAAUGGCCCUGGGCACUGCUGGGAGUUCAGAAUGGGGAGACUCCAGGCAGGGGUGGGCCAUCAGGGGCAAGUGCUUCUCUGGGGCUGCUGCAAUAGCUUCCUGGCCAGCCUCCACUCUGAUAACCCGAGUUACCUUUCUAAAGGAGGUUUGGCCGUCUCCUUGCCCUGACCAACCAUAUGUCCCAUUGCCUUUAGACUCAGUCCUGCUAGCCCUGCAGCAAUAAAGGCCUCAAGCUGCCUGAUCAGCCACUCCUUGACUGCUUUAAGCCUCCAUUCUAGCCACACCACUGCCCCCCACCCCGCCCGUGUGGGCGCCUGUAAUCUCAUACCCCUGCUCUGUGUGCUCCUCACACUUCUCUACCUUUCAAGAACCUUAUGAAGCCUAGUAAACACUCUACCUUCUCCAAGUUCACAUCUCAGACUUUUUACAAUGGAAUGAUUCCUUUUCGACAAAACUUGAUUUGUGCGUUUAGUCUCGUCCCCAUCUAAUUCUUCUCUGUAUGUAGUUACAUAUCUUUAAAUAUACAUAAAAAACCCAAUAUAUAUAUGCAUAUAUGUUAGCUGCUGUUGAGGAGGCCCCAACCCGUGGCAACCCCAUGAACAAUGGAAUGAAGCUUUGCCUGGUCCUGCGCCAUCCUCAUGAUCAGUUGGAGAUCGGACCACCGUGAUCCCAUUUUUGAAAGUAGAUCACUAGACCUUUCUUUGUAGUCUGUCUUAGGAAGUGCUACUGAAACCCAUUCAGCAUCACAGCAACAUGCAAGACUCCACUGACAGACAGGUGGUGGCUGCACAUGAGGUUCACUGUCCAGGAAUCGAACCCGGGUCUCCUGCAUGGAAGGCAAGAUUUCUACCACUGAAUGACUAAUGCCUCAUAUAUGUACUUAAAAACCAAAAACCAAACUCAUUGCCAUGAAGCCGUUUCCGACUCAUAGUGACCCUAUAGGACAGAGUAGAACUGCCCCAUAAAGUUUCCAGAGGUGGGCUGGUGGAUUCGAACUACUGACAUUCUAGUUAGCAGUGUAACACUUAACCAUUGUGCCAGCAGGGCUCCAUGUGUGCAUGUAUAUAUGUGUAUAUAUUUUUAUACAGUGCACAUUUUGUUAUAAUCAUAUAUCACUAUAAUAAUGCUUUUAUUAAUGUAAUGUUUUUAUUACUAGAUUAUGUACUUUUCAAGGACAAAGCUUGUACAAAUCAAGUACAAAAGUUCUUAUUCUGUAUCCUAAACUAACCCAGAGGUCUUUUACCCUCAGCAAAUGAUUUGACUUGUAUCGACAAAGGGACUAGGAGAGGAGUUGUGAAGAAGAAAUACGUCCAAGCCCCCUGAUUAUAGCUAUUACUGGAGUAGAAGUGACAGUAAAGUGCUUUCAGAAACCUGGAAAUAGGGUAGCUUUCUCUUUCAGGUGCAGCUCGCACCCUCCAUAUGAUCCAGUGAGCCUUCAUAUUUCCCAGCCUCCUUUGUGGUUAGAUUGGCUGUGUAAGUAGCUUUGGUCAAUGAAAUGUGAGUGGGAAAGCAGAUGUCUUGUUUCCAGUCCUGGCACAUAAGAGUUAGUACUCUCCUCCAUCUUUCCUUUCCCACUGCUCUGAUCCUAGAAGCCUUGUGUUGACUUGCUGAUCACAGAAUGGAUAGAACCUCGUCCAGAAUCAGCAGAUGGUAGAGGGCCUGCUGUCUACGCCAGACUUUAGAAGAAUAAGAAGCAAACUGCCCUGCUAAGCCACUGAGAUUUUAAUUUACUUAUUAACUCAACAUAGCCUAGCCUAUCCUGAUUACUAUAUCUUCUCAAAGUGAAACUAGUAAAAUCUGCACAUUUUUGAGUGGUGCCUGCAUAUAGUGCAGCAAACAUCUAUAAACCAGGCAUGAGUUUUCUCCUCCUCAGUCAACUGAUCAUAAGGAACUCCCCAUAAGGCCAUAGAUGCAGACUGGAAGAGGGAAGGUAAUGUCACAGGAGUGGAGACCGUGGGCAUUUGGACCACUUUCUCAUGCAACUUACUUGUGCCUUCAGGUCCUGCUCGGGCCCAAUCUUGUAUAUCCCACUUCCAUUUAACGAAGUGUUGUUGUGCGUGUCUGACUUAGUGGCUCUGCGGGUCAGACAACACUCAGUUCAUGAGAGGCAGCUCAGGCUGCAUGGUGACUUGGUGGCCCACGGUUAAGUGUACAGUCUCUACUACCACCACCACUGUGGUAGUAGAGACUACACUUAACCAAAGGCCCGGUAAUAAGCCAGAAGCUGCUUUUCAAAAGGAGAGUAGUUAUCUGCAGAGGAUGGCAGGUCUUUGCUCCAAGCUCCUAGGGGUCUGCACUGCGAUUUACCAAUAAGGUCCUCCCAAAGACUCCAAACAGCAUCUCUAUCUGUGACUGACACUUCAAGCACCCUUAGAUCAGCCAUAUCAUAUGGCUCAAGCAGUAAAGUGGAUUGCACAGUAGCCUGAACCCAUUGCAAAGCCUUCUCUUGUUCUGGGCCCAGCUCAAAACUAGCAGCUUUUGGAGUCACUUCAUAAAUAGUCCAGAGUAGCACACCCAAGGAUGCAAUGCUGGAAGUGCUCACUUGCCUAUGCCAAAAAAUUUGGAAGACAGCUACCGGGCUAACCAACUGGAAGAGAUACGUAUUUGUGCCCAUUUUAAAGAAAGGCGAUCCAACAUAAUGCAGAAAUUAUCAAAAGAUAUCAUUAAUAUCACACACAAGUAAAAUUUUUUUGAUGAUAAUUACAAAAUGAUUGGAGCAGUACAUCAACAGGGAACUGCCAGAAAUUCAAGCCGAAUUCAGAAGUGGACGUGGAACGAGGGAUAUCUUUGCUGAUGUCAGAUAGAUCUUGGCUGAAAGCAGAGAAUACCAGAAAGAUGUUUACUUGUGUUUUAUUGACUAUGCAAAGAUAUUCGACUAUGUGGAUCAUAACAAAUUAUGGAUAACAUUGUGAAGAAUGGGAAUUCUAGAAUACUUAAUUGUGUACAGGAAGAACCAAGAGGCAGUUGUUCUAACAGAACAAGGGGAUACUGUGUGGUUUAAAAUCAGGAAGUGUGUGUCAGGGUUGUAUCCUUUCACCAUACUUAUUAAGUCUGUAUGCUGACCAAAUAAUCUGAGAAGCUGAAGUAUAUGAAGAAGAAUAUGGCAUCAGGAUUGGAAGAAGACUCAUUAACAAUCUGUGCUAUGCAGAUGACACAACCUUGCUUGCUCGAAGAAAGGAGGACUUGAAGCACUUAGUGAUGAUCGAAGACCACAGCCUUCAGUGUGGAUUACACCUCAACCCAAAGAAAACAAAAAUCCUCAUAACUGGACCAAUAAGCAACAUCAUGAUAAAAGGAGAAAAGAUUGAAGUUGCCAAGCACUUCAUUUUACUUGGAUCCACAAUCAACGUCCAUGGAAGCAACCAUUAAGAAAUCAAAUGACAUAUUGCAUUGGGUAAAUCUGCUGCAAAAGACAUCUUUAAAGUGUUAAAAAACAAAGAUGUCACUUGGAGGACUAAGGUUCACCUGGCCCAAGCCAUGAUAUUUUCAAUUGCCUUAUAAGCAUGCAAAAGCUGAACAAUGAAUAAGGAAAACCAAAGAAAAAGCUGGACAAUAAAUAAGGGAGACUGAAGAAUUAAUACCUUUGUACUAUAUUGGUGAAGACUAUUGAAUAUACCAUAGACUGCCAGAAGAGUGAGAAAAUCUGUCUUGGAAGAAGUACAGCCAAUAUGCUCCUUAGAUGUGAGGCUUUGUUUCACUACUAUCACCAUGUUAUCAGGAGGGACCAGUCCUUGGAGAAGGACAUCAUGCUUUGUAAAGUAGAUGGUCAGUGAAAAAGAGGAAGAUCCUCAACAAGAUGGAUUGACACAGUGGCUGAAAAAAUGGGCUCAAAAUAGCAAUGCUUGUGUGGGUGGUACAGGACCGGGCAGUGCUUUUUUCUGUUGUAUAGCAGAUCGCUAUGAGUUGGAACCAACUGUAUGGCACCUAAGAACAACUAAUAGCACACCCAAAUGAGGGAUGUAUUGCCUCCAAAAUUCAAAGAGGCCCACAGCUGUGUGCCUCAUUUACAGUUGUGGGAGGGGCCAGUUGCAAUAACUCAUCCUUCACUUGCGGAGGAAUAUCUUGACAUGUCUCAUACAACUGGACCCCUAGAAAUUUCACUGAGGUGGAGGGUGUCUGAAUUUUUGUUGGAUUAAUUUCCCACCCUCUAGCAAACAAAUAUUUUAGCAAUAAGUCCAGAGUAAUUGACACUUUAUCAUUACUAGGUCCAAUCAGCAUAAAUUCAUUAAUGUAAUGGACCAGUGUAACAUUUUCUGGAAGGUAAAUGCAACCAAGUUCCCUGGGGACUAAAUUAUGACACAGGGCUGGAGAGCUGAUAUAUAUGAGGUAGGAUACUGAAGCUGUACUGCUGGUCUUGCUGCUGAAGGCAAACUACUUCUGAUGUGCCUUUGAAACCAGAAUCAAGAAAAAGGCAUUCGCUAGAUCAUUAGCUGCAUACCAGGUACCCACCCAGUGCCGUCGAGUCAACCAGGUACCAGGAGAUGUACUAAUUUGCUCAAGCAAUGAAACUACAUAUGGAACAGGAGGCGAAACUGGAGUCACUACCUCGUUAAAUUUACGAUAAUCUUCUGUCAUUCCCAAGAUCCAUCUGUUUUUUGCACAAGCCAAAUAGGCAAGUUGAAUGCAAAUAUGGCGGGAAUCACACCCCUGCGUCCUUCACGUCCUUGAUGGUGGCAGUAAUCUCUGCAAUUUCUCCAGAAAUGUGGUAUUGCCUUUGGUUUAAUAUUUUCCUAGGUAGGGGCAAUUCUAAUGGCUUCUACUUGGUUUUUUUCUAUCAUAAUAGCCCUUCCUCCACUUGUCAAGGAUCCAAUGUGGGCGUUCUGCCAGUUGCUGAGUAUAUCUAUUCCAAUUAUGCAUUCUAGAACUGGAGAAAUCACUACAGGAUGGGUUUGAAGACCCACUGGACCCAAUGUCAGAUUAACCUGCCUAAAACUUCAUUAGUAACCUGACCUCCAUAUGCCCUCACUCUGACUGAUGGGCCACAGUGAUGUCUUGGGUCUCCUGGAAUUAGUGUCAGUUCAGAGCCAAUAUCCAGUAAUCCCCCAAAAGUCUGAUUAUUUCCUUUUUCCCAAUGAAAAGUCACUCUUGUAAAAGGCCAUAGAUCCCUUUGGGGAAGACUGGAAGAAAGGCUAACAGUAUAAAUUUUUCUCAGUGUGGUGGGGUCCUUCUUCCAGAGGACCCAGCCUACCCUUUAUUCAAGGGGUUGUGGGUUUGUAAUCUGCCUCAAGUCUGGGAAUUGAUUGAGGAACUGUGACUCAUUAUUCUGAUGAUUUGAGUUAGAUUGCUGCUCACUUGACUUAGCAUUCUUCCGCUUCUAUAGAGCAAGUAAAUGUGUGGUAGAUUUUUCAUCUGUUUCACUCCUGGGUAUACCAGGACUAUGUAGGGAAUGCCAUAAGUCCAUAAGUGUCAGAUUACUCUGAUUACUGCUUUGACACCACCGUCCAUUAUGGCAACCAUGCCCACCUUAUCUUUGUUGAUUGAGUGCUGCCACAUGGCCACUUUCACCACUGUGUCCAAUCAGCCCCACUGUAGUUAGGUGUCUCAAUUCAGUUAAGGCAGUUCUCACUGUCAAAUCUGACUUACAUAAAAUAGCAAUCAGGGCAGUCUUCAAGGAUGCUGGGGCUCCCUUCACAAAUUUGUUCCAUUGUGGCAAAAGCUGUGUCCUCUGGGCACUCUAUGUAAGGGUCUGUGGUCUAACCUGAUAAAUCUACACUAACAUGUCAAUUUCCUUAAGCAUUAGGAUACCUUCUUUUAAGUAUACCGAUGCAGGUCUGGUACUUCAACUUGAUUUAGUGUAAGCCACUAUGCAUUUCAUGCUUCAGUGACCCAACCAAAUAUCUAUUAGAUCCUUUCCUAAUCUCUUGAACAGAAACACUGAAUGAAGGAUCUGUGCUUCUUGUUGUUGUUGUUAGGAGCCGUUGAGUUAGUUCUUACUCAUAGAGACCCUACGUAUCUUCUGCAAAAUUUUAGUUGUGUGUGAUACUAAUACUGUUCGAUUAUUUCUGCAUUCUGUUGAAUCACCUUUCUUUGGAAUGGGUGCAAAUAUGAACCUCUUCCAGUUGGUUGGCCAGGUAGCUAUUUUACAAAUUUCUUGGCAUAGAUGAGUGAGCACCUAUAGCGCUGCAUCCAUUUGUUGAAACAUCUCAACUGGUAUUCCAUCAAUUCCUGGAGCCUUGUUUUUCACCAAUGCCUUCAGUGCAGCUUGGACUUCUUCCUUCAGUACCACUGGUUCUUGAUCCUAUGCUACCUCCUGAAAUGGUUGAGUGGUGACCAAUUCUUUUUGGUAUAGUGACUCCGUGUAUUCCUUACAUUUUCUUUUGAUACUCCCUGGGUCGUUCAAUAUUUUGCCCACAGGAUCUUUUAUUAUUGCAACUUGAGGCUUGAAUUUUUAAUUCAGUUCUUUCAUCUUGAGAAAUGCCAAGCGUGAUCUUCCUUUUUGGCUUUCUUACUACAGGAUUUGGCAAUGACAAAUCUCUAAAAUUUAUGGAAAGGGAUUAAUCUCUAAAUUUUUUUUCCAUGAAAUUCGUGGAAAACUUCAACAUCUCAAAGACAAAAAGACAAAAAAUCAGUUAAAAUGUGGGCAAGGGACAUGAAUAGACACUUUGCCAAGGAAUACAUUCAGCCGGUCAACAAAUACAUGAAGAGAUGCUCAUGAUCAUUAGCCAUUAGAGAGAUGCAAAUCAAAACAACCAGAUAGCAUCUUAAAAUCUUACCACAGCAAAAAUGGCAAUGCUAAGUAAAAGAAGAAAAUAACAAAUGCUGGAUGGAGAAGGUGUAGGGAGAUUGGAACUCUCAUACUAUGUUGGUGGGGUUGUAAAAUGGUGCAAUCACUGUGGAGAAUGAUAUGAUACUUCCUUAAAAAGUUAGAAAUAGAGACACCUUAUGAUCCAGCAAUAUACAUCCUAGAGAAAUAAGAUCCAUGACACGAAUAGAUAUAUGCGCUCCCAUGUUCAUUGCAGCAUUAUUCACAAUAGCAAAAGGAUGUAAACAACCUAAGUGCCCAUCAACAGAUGAAUGGAUAAACAAACUAUGGUAGAUACACAUAAUAGAAUACUACACAAACUUAAAGAAUAAUGAUGAAUCUGAAAAAUAUCUCACAACAUGGAUGUACCUGGAGGACAUAAUGCUGCGUAUAAUAAGUCAAUCACAAAAGGACAAAUAUUAUAUGAUGCCAUGAUUAUAAAAAGUUAAGAAAAGGUUCACACACAGAAAGAAACAUUUUUGAUGGUUACCAGGGAUGGGAGGGGAGAGAGGGAAAAUCACUAGCUAGAUGGUAGACAAGUAUUAACUUGGAUGAAGGGAAAGGCAAUACACAAUAGGGGAGAUGUCAGCUGAACAUGACCAAGGCAAAGGAAAACACUGGGAGUAAUGCAAAAGUGAAAGGAAACAACGGUAAAUACUAUUACAUACACAAUCCUGCAGUAACAAUAACAACAGUAAUAAUAAUAAAUAAUAUAAAGUGGGUACAUAGGUAGAUAUAUAAGCUAAACAGGUGUGGGAUGGUGGUAUGGGAGUACACCCACAAGCAUACACUGGUUUGGUCGAGGGUAUUUUUACAUAUAUAUAUGUAUGUGCUGCAAAUAUAUCCAUGUAUGUAGUAGAGCACACAGGGGACAAAGUUAUAAAAACUUUUUAGCUGUAACCAAACAUCUUGAGGGACUGGGUCACUGGGCUUCAGGGCUUAGCACCAUAGUCUUAGGGGACAUCUAGGUCAAUUGGCAUGACAUAGUCCACAAAGACAAUGUUCUACAUCCCAUUUUGGUGAGUAACAUCUGGGGUCUUAAAAGCUUGCAAGCGGCCAUCUAACAUACAGUUAUUGGUCUCUUCCUGUCUGGUGUAAAGAAGAGUGAAGAAAAUCAAAGACUCAAGGAAACAAUUAGUCCAAAGGACUAAUGGACCACAAGAACCAUAACCUCCACUAGCCUGAGGCCAGAAGAACUAGAUGGUGCCUGGCUACCACUACCGACUGCUCUGAUCGGGGUCACAAUAGAAGGCCCUGGAUAGAGUGGAAAAAAAGUGUAGAACAAAAUUCAAAUUCACAAAAAAAGACUGGACUUACUCGUCUGAUAGAGACUGAUAGAACCCCCAAGAUUAUGGCCCUUAGACACCCUUCAAACCUGGAACUGAACCCACUCCCAGAGAUCACCUUUCAACCAAACAAUAGACAGGCCUAUAAAGUGAACAGUAACACCGGUGAGCAACGUGUUCCUCAGAGCAAUCAACCAUAUGAGACCGAAAGGGCAGCAUUUGCCCCAAAACAAAAUUCAGAAGGCAGGAAGGGGCAGGAAAGAUGGGCAAAUGGAAAUGGGGAACCCAGAGGGAAAAUAGGCAGAGUGCUGGCACAUUGAAGGGAUUAAAAGUAAUGUCAUGAAACAAAAUGUAUAAAUCGUUAAAUGGGAAACUAAUUUUUCUCUGUAAAAUUUCACCCAAACCACAAUAAAAUGUUUAAAAAAAAAAAAGGAGAGAAAAAAAAAAAGACUAAAA